rnacentral:rRNA from 1 species
UACGGAGGGGGCUAGCGUUGUUCGGAAUUACUGGGCGUAAAGCGCACGUAGGCGGCUUUGUAAGUUAGAGGUGAAAGCCCCAGGGCUCAACCCUGGAAUUGCCUUUAAGACUGCAUCGCUUGAACAUCGGAGAGGUAAGUGGAAUUCCGAGUGUAGAGGUGAAAUUCGUAGAUAUUCGGAAGAACACCAGUGGCGAAGGCGACUUACUGGACGAUUGUUGACGCUGAGGUGACGAAAGCGUGGGGAGCAAACAGG